UACGAAGGGGGCUAGCGUUGCUCGGAAUUACUGGGCGUAAAGGGCGCGUAGGCGGAUGUUUAAGUCGGGGGUGAAAGCCCGGGGCUCAACCUCGGAAUUGCCUUCGAUACUGGACAUCUUGAGUACGGGAGAGGUGAGUGGAACUGCGAGUGUAGAGGUGAAAUUCGUAGAUAUUCGCAAGAACACCAGUGGCGAAGGCGGCUCACUGGCCCGGUACUGACGCUGAGGUGCGAAAGCGUGGGGAGCAAACAGG
rnacentral:rRNA from 1 species